CCGAAUUCCGACGGACAAUGAAUAAUGAAUGAUAAGCUGGCCAUUUUGACUAAGCAUUAAGUUAUUAUUAACCUAACUUUUAUAUUGUAAAUAUUUAUCUUUUUUAUUUCUUUCCUUGCUUACAGGAAAAUUGGUGACUCGUGUGUUACAAACAAUAGUUUUUAAGGGAAAAAAUGUGAAAUAAUUUGUAUAGGUAGGUUAUGUAGGCUAAUCAACAUGAUAACAGACACUUCAGGUAAGUCACCAACAAGAAGGUAAAGUAAGACACCAACAAGAACUUAAGAUACAGCUUAUUCGUAGGCUAAUUCUGAAUCAUCAAGCAAUAACUUAUUGUAGCAAAUGUUUGAAUAGGCAUAUCCCUAGGCUAUUAGGAUUGUCUCUUAUUCCCAUUGACCCAGUGUCAACUUUAAGAAUUUGUUUAUGUAAAAAUAUUCGGCUGCGCUUUAGUUUAUGUCCUUUAUUCAUUCAAAUGAAAGAUAAUACAUUAGUUAGACUAUUUAAUAUUUUGAAUAUUUCAUUCCGUUAGUUAGGUUAGGUUUCACCCUAACAUUACCCAAAAUUGAUAUAGGCCUAAGUUUAUCGAAUGAAAUAAUCAAUAUGACUGGGACGGGUGGCGUCGUCCUGUAAUCCCUGCUACUAGGAGGUCACGAAUUGUGGAUAUUUAUAGGCAUGCACUGUGGAUGCGAUACUCCCUGGUGUGGAUUAACGUCCGCUUGAGUGAGUACUACGACUAUCCGCAGUACUAUCCAGAUAAUUAGACCAAUUCGUAUAUAGACCAAGGCAAUAAUGUUGUUCGGAUUCCACUAUAAACUGUAGGUCCCUUAGUUGCCAUUAGCUGUAUGGGCUAUUAAUUAACAGCUGUGUCUAAGGAAUGUCGGCCUUAGUCACUAACAAGACUACAAGAUCGCGCCACUCAUCCUGAUCCUACACUCAUUUCCAUUCAUACUUGGCUUAAAAUACCUACUUUGUAGGCUAUGGUCGCCAAGUAAUAAGAAAGAAAGUAUUAAAGAAAUAUAUUCAUUGGAAUGAGUGUAUGACGUAAACUUAAGUGCUGUAAAAUAUUCUAGAGCUGUUUGUAUUUGGUGUAAGACUAGACUUGGAUUAUAUCAUUCAUUGCUGAUGACAUCAAUGUUAAUUUUAUAGAUGAUCCUCGAGCAAAGGCUGUAAUUUGACCUGAACCCAAAUUGGUCUCUAUUUUAAAUAUUGUCUUGAACCAAUAAGUUAAGAGGACUAACCUUUCUGGAAGAGAUUGCCAUCGACAUCACAGCAGAUGAGAGAGAAAGAGAGACCAGAGUUGUGGACCCUGGAGGCAAUUACCAUACUGCCGUGAUAAUGUUCCUUGGUCUAACCAUAACUUAAGUGAGAACUGAAGCCUACCAGUAAAAUGGGGGCGUUGUAAUUAAUAUCCUCCGACAUUGGAGAAUACAGGGGAGAGGUGUCAGAGGAAGAGAAGAUGGAGGUUGGAGCGAAGUAAAGACUAAGAUUGAAGAGAACUAACUAAUGGCCUGAUGACAGGGUGGAUGGCGAUGGAGGCAUGGAGGUUGGGGGAGAGGAGGCUGAAGAAGUGGAGACAAAUCAGUUUAGAUCCAUUAUGUUGAUUAGUUUAACAUUUAUUUUGAACAUCAGUAUUUAAAUUUUUUUCUCAUUUAGAUUAUUAAAUUAAGAUAAUUUUAUUGUUUUUAUGAAGAUGUUUUCUUACAUUUUUAAUAUUUGUUUGUACUUCUGCCUGGUAAAAAAAUACUGUUUUCCUACAGUUACCUAACAAUGUACAUGUUCUCUCACUGAUUUGAGAAAGCAAAGUUUGGCCAAUUCGCUCAUCAGUGAGACAAUGUUAACAUUGUCUCACUCUAAUUACUUUGUCUCACUCCAGAUUUGCAACGUGAAGGCACAAAAUAGUGAGCGCGUAACAUGCAGACAAGGUCGUAUGUGCGCGAAAUACGUUGGCAGCACUGGCUGUAAAUCAGCUGGUCAGCUGUUUUACUGUUGUAUCAUUAAAUGUCAUAAGUUCACUUCUGUGUAAAAAUAUGUUACGUUUCUUUACCAAUUUAUUUGUUUUAUGGUAACUGUAGGAAAAAUAUAAUGUGCAGCUCGAGUGCAAAGUGCAAUUGCCUCACUCGAGAAAACAUUCCUCACUCGCCUACGGCUCGUGAGUAAGUAUUUCUCUCGAGUGAGUCAAUUUAUCACUUUGCUCACUAGUUGCACAAAUAACUAUUAUUAUCUUUGUUAAAAUGAUUACUUUCACUAACUGACCUUGUCUUGGGUAAAAAGAGAUAUCUUGAUAUUUAACUAGCAGGGUGCCUGUUCUAUGGGCGGGGAUUGUAUAAGUCAGUAGAAACCUUCUUAUAUUUCGAUACUUGGUAAAUUAAUCAUUUCCAACUUUAUAUAGUAUAGAUCGCUAUUCCUGUAUUGAUGUACUGAAAUGAAUAAAAUUAUAUGAAAUGAAA